CUGAUGGGUGCACAUGGUUCAUUCGUAUGUUCUUCCUUUGAAAAAAUAAACGUAUUUUGAUGCCAGAGCUGACUAAUGGGUGCACAUGGUUCCUUCGUAUGUUCUUCCUUUGAAAAAAUAAACGUAUUUUGGUGCCAGAGCUGACUGAUAGGUGCACGUGGUUCCUUUGUAUGUUCUUCUUUUGAAAAAAUAAACGUAUUUUGAUGCCUGAGAUGACUGAUGGGUGCACAUGGUUCCUUCGUAUGUUCUUCCUUUGAAAAAAUAAACGUAUUUUGGUGCCUGAGAUGACUGAUGGGUGCACAUGGUUCCUUCGUAUGUUCUUCCUUUGAAAAAAUAAACGUAUUUUGAUGCCUGAGAUGACUGAUGGGUGCACAUGGUUCCUUCGUAUGUUCUUCCUUUGAAAAAAUAAACGUAUUUUGGUGCCUGAGAUGACUGAUGGGUGCACAUGGUUCCUUCGUAUGUUCUUCCUUUGAAAAAAUAAACGUAUUUUGAUGCCUGAGAUGACUGAUGGGUGCACAUGGUUCCUUCGUAUGUUCUUCCUUUGAAAAAAUAAACGUAUUUUGGUGCCUGAGAUGACUGAUGGGUGCACAUGGUUCCUUCGUAUGUUCUUCCUUUGAAAAAAUAAACG